rnacentral:rRNA from 1 species
GUAGGGUGCGAGCGUUAAUCGGAAUUACUGGGCGUAAAGCGUGCGCAGGCGGUUUUGUAAGUCAGAUGUGAAAUCCCCGGGCUUAACCUGGGAACUGCGUUUGAAACUACAAGGCUAGAGUGUAGCAGAGGGGGGUGGAAUUCCACGUGUAGCAGUGAAAUGCGUAGAGAUGUGGAGGAACACCGAUGGCGAAGGCAGCCCCCUGGGUUAACACUGACGCUCAGGCACGAAAGCGUGGGGAGCAAACAGGAUUAGAUACCCUGGUAGUCCACGCCCUAAACUAUGUCAACUAGUUGUCGGGCCUUAACGGGCUUGGUAACGCAGCUAACGCGUGAAGUUGACCGCCUGGGGAGUACGGUCGCAAGAUUA